UCAUAAUCAACAAGAUUUGAAUUAGGAAAAAAACUAAAUUUUUCAUUUCCAAAUGAACAUGAAUAACCAAAUUUGUCCAAUACAGAAACAUAAAUCACAUUUCAUCUAAACAAUGGUACAAUAAAAGUAUCUUCUAAAUUCAAAUAAAAUCCAGUCCUUAACAACAAUAUAAAUUUGCCAAUUGCUUCCACCUCGAUUGGUUUACCAUCACCCACAUAAAUGAAUCUGGCACCAUUACUUGGCUUGCGGUAAUGGAGGAAAAGCUGCAUAGACACAUUGAUGUGAUUUCUACCACCAAAAUAUAUCCACCAGGUGUAUGUAGGUAUAAAAGUUAAAUUAACCUCAAAACAAACAAAAUUAAGAAGCAUACAUUUCUUUGCACGUCACGCAUGAUAGUUAGUGCAUUUUUUCUUAUAGUGUCCUAGAGCUUUACAGAAGAAACAAACAUUUUCGGUUUGAUCUUUUUGUUGCUUCUUCUGUUGUAAUGGAACCACAACAGAUUUACUCGUUUUUUUUCUUCUUGUUCUUCUUAUCCUUUGAGAUCAUUGCGAAAUGAGCACUCUCUAUCCUCUCAGACUUGAGCUUUUCCUCUUUCUGAACAUAAUGUGAAAUGAACUAAUUCAGAUUCAAAGACUGACACGGGAGGGUAUGGGGAGGAUCGAAUCUACUCCUGAAAACCCACUCAACGCAUGCAAUAUCGAAACAAUAACCACCUAAAAUAAAAACCUCUCCCUCUAAUUGAAUUUGCAAUCUUAAAAGGAAAGCCAAAAACAAAGAUUAGGGAAAUAAAAUAAGGAAAAAAAAUGGCACGGACUUAUUGAUAAGUUGAUCCCUGUUCUUUGGCUCAACAAAACUUCUGAAAACUCUUGCUUCCUAAAGAACUUGAAGAAGCUAAUUUUAGCAAAAAUGCUAAAAGAAACAUAGCGAAAGCUCUUAAGAAAUUGACUAAAAAUUAUUCUCAAAUGUGUGAUUUACAAUCUAAGGGCAAAUGUCUAUUCACAGCCUUUCCCGAGUGAUCUAGAUGAGUACAAAAAUCUUGAAAGAAAUAAUAAAAU
rnacentral:lncRNA from 1 species